rnacentral:rRNA from 1 species
CCUACGGGAGGCAGCAGUGAGGAAUAUUGGUCAAUGGACGAGAGUCUGAACCAGCCAAGUAGCGUGAAGGAUGACUGCCCUAUGGGUUGUAAACUUCUUUUAUAUGGGAAUAAAACGUUCCACGUGUGGGAUUUUGUAUGUACCAUAUGAAUAAGGAUCGGCUAACUCCGUGCCAGCAGCCGCGGUAAUACGGAGGAUCCGAGCGUUAUCCGGGUUUAUUGGGUUUAAAGGGGGCGUAGGUGGAUUGUUAAGUCAGUUGUGAAAGUUUGCGGCUCAACCGUAAAAUUGCAGUUGAAACUGGCAGUCUUGAGUACAGUAGAGGUGGGCGGAAUUCGUGGUGUAGCGGUGAAAUGCUUAGAUAUCACGAAGAACUCCGAUUGUGAAGGCAGUUCACUGGACUGCAACUGACACUGAGGCUCGAAAGUGUGGGUAUCAAACAGGAUUAGAUACCCCUGUAGUC